GACAUUAUCUGUGGUCACAAUGGGUACAUCCCCCAAGAAGGAUGGUCUUCCAGGAGUCACUGAAAAUUUCAAGAAGUGAAAAUCCAACAGAAAAUAUUUGAACCCAGGAAUAAAAUAGAAGCCUGGAAGACUGAAGGAUAUUCACCACAGGUGAAAUCCCUCUCAGCAGCUGGCUUAUGAAAUAAUGUGAAGGGAGGCCUUAAUGAGCAGAAUGCACCCUCAGCUGGAGAUAAAUAUAUGCAAAUGAGAUGCACAAACAAAGGAGCCUGGACAGAGAAAUAUCUGCAAUUCCAGCAAAAUGCUGCCUGCAGCUCGAAGAUGAACAGCUUUGAUAAAAUGUGAGAAAUAUUACCACGUGUGCUGAUGCCUCAGACACACCAAUCUGCAACAAGCAACUAGGAUAAAAAAUUGUUAAAAGUGAAUCAACAUUUAUCUGGAAUAUACAGUCCUGACCCCCUUACGCACUCCCCCCCACCCCCCUCCCCGCAACACACAAAGUCAUUUGUCUUCUAUGUCCUGUGAUGUUUUGAGGAUUCUGGCAAAUAUGGCAGUUAAACAAACUUCUAGCACAAUCUAAAUACAGUCUGUUCAAGAGAGGCUUCCAAUGUUUAUAGACCAUAAGUAAAGAAAAAAAAAAUCUGGUAUUUAACCAAGAAUAGUGCUCUUGAAAAUGUCUCAGAACAAAGUGUUUAAGCAAAACUUUGGCCAUAGAUAUUCUCCAUUCCUCAUUCUUUGCUGAUUUUUUUUUCAAUGAGGACUUUUUAUAUGCCAUCAUUUUGCUUCUUCUUCUUCUUCUUCUUCUUUCUUUUUUUUUUUUUUUUUUUUUUUAAUUAACAAACUAAUUUUAAAAAUCAACACCUGACUGGGGACCUGGUCAUACAAACUUCCUUUAGAUACAGUUGAGAAGAAAACAUCACAUUUUUAUGAAGCCCCUCUCCUGACAGGGGACUGGAGGAGGAACACCAUUAUGCAUUGUUAUCAGCGUGGUGUAAUUUGACUGUUGACAAAGUAUCCGUGGCAGUGCGAAUGAGCGCAGUUAGAAGUGUGGCGGAUUGUAAUCAAGAAGAUGCUUAGCUGUGCAACACUGCAUCUCGAGCAGAUUUGAAUCAACAUUGCCUUAAGGGGACACACACACAUACCAAAAGAAAAAAAAUCCAUUAAUUUUUAGAGGGAAAAUUAGAGUGGCACUUGAUGAAGUGAAAUUUGACAUGCGUUAAUUGGUGUGCAGCUCUCCUAAUGAGAGAUUUUCAAAUUCUUUUACUGCUGUCACCAUGAUGGCACAUUGUCUUGCUGGACAAAUACUAAAAUUGCAAAUUGGCUUGAUCAGGAAGUUUUACGUAUGAAGAUAACACUGUAUCCUCUAGUCCACUUCCAAAAGGUGGACAGCUGGAGAGCAAAGAUGACUUUCAGCUUUACCUUCACCCCAGAUUUUUAAAAAAAGGAUUAUUAUGAUAGUUUCAUUAUGAGACUUAAUGUAAAGGAAGCAGGUGCUGAUACAAUUUUCUUAAACAGAUGGAAACGUUUCUUUGAUACUCAUGCUUCUGCUUCAUAUGAAAUAUUUCAGGUAGAAAAAGAAAGCCAGUGAAAUGCUACAUUAUAUAUAUACACUCUCAUAUUUCUCCUUAUAUUCUUCAGAAAUUGGAGUUAGGUGGAUUUUUUGAAAGCUCAUGUCACAUUUUUCCCUGCUCUGAGAUCUAAGGCACUCCAGUUCCCCUUCUUGUCUUAAAGUAAUUAUACUGAUGUUUGGCCCCCAGGAUGGCACCAAAUAUGAUACCACAAUAAUUUUGGUUUCCUUUUUCCAACUCCUCUUGUCUAGCCCUUGAACCUCUCUUAAUUCAUUAACAUAUUGAAUUUUUUCAAUUUUCCAUUUUCUUGCAAUAACAAUAUUAAUGCCGGGGUGAAAGCUUGAUUGGAGCUAAAUUACUUGUUACCUGCUGGCAUUUAUUUAUAUGGCAUUGAAUUAUAAAGCUUUGCUAUUGUCAUGCCUUGGGCGAAUUGUUUAUGACACCAGUAAUAGGAGUAAUUGUUAUUGUUGAAAUUACCUGUCAGCUACCCAUAGCAGUGGCCCUUGUCCCACUGACAAAUAGUGACAAGGGAGAGGUAUCCUCCAUGCGUCCCCCUGAUGGCUUCUCCUCUGAUAAUAAGAAGUGCAGGGCCUCUGAUAAUUUGCCUGUCACUGUUGAGUGCAGCUCAGAGAGAGUUGGCCAAAUUGUUGUCAUUCACUUUGACAAAGACAGCAAAAUGCUCCCGUGCAAGAGGAGGAUUAUCAAAAUAAAUGAAAUAGCUUACACCCCCUUUGUUUGGCUCAAGAAUUGCCUGGCUUUGUAUGAGGUUGUGAAAUCAAGGUCCAGUUCUUAUCGAUGUGCCUCUGCUCAUUCUAAGAUGAGGAUCCCAGGGAAGGAAAGGCACCUUAGAAGACUCGCCAUUUUGCAGCUUGCAUCGGCUAGUAAAAAAUUAUAUUCAAAUGUAAAGGGAAAGUCAAUAAAGUUGUAAUAAGUCUAAUAUGUCACUAAAUACAUUAAUUUAAAACAC